AAAAAAUUAAUUUUAAUUCGAUUUUAAGCGGUACCAAACAUGCUCUAGGUCAUUUGCUUGGGUCUCUAAGAAGUUCCCCAAUUAACAAACCAAGCUACCAUAUUGAUUAAUCACAACAUCGUUGGAAUAAAACAAAAGCACACCACUUGGACAUGGCUUCAUGUAACCUCUGCAACCGAAUAGUGCAAAUUUGCGUCGGAUUUCUUCAGAAAAAUAGUUCCACAUAACAAGUCUUGGCUGCCCACAUCAAAAUCGACAGUGAUCGCCUGAGGCUCACAGAAACCAACCAUUUGGCCAUUUUUAUCCAGAAACUCGAACCUAUUUAUUUCGCGCGGGUUCGUCACUAACAAUUAAAAAGGGAUCAGACGAUUGUGUAAGGGACAAACCUCUUGAGAGAAAGUCCCAAAAAGGGGUGUUCUUUAUUGACAAUGACUUUACAAUCGGAAAGUAAAAAUAGAAUGCCUCCAAAGAACGCAAGCACACGAGUUAUUGAAAGAAAUGUUUAAAUCUAAACUAAGAAAUUUAAAGUUACAUAUUCUCUGUUCGAGAGUUUUUUGAUUCAGGUCCUUUUGCUCUAUGUCUUUUAUUCCUUUUAUACUCCCUGGAUGAUCUCUUUGUGAUCAACCGCCUAAAAACUGCUUGAUCGUUCUAUAACUGCCCACUUUCCUCGUAAUGGCCAACUUGUCAUGGAACUGCCUUUUCUAACUGCUGUCAUUACUCUUUGUCGUUCAACCAUCUUCAAUUGAAUUCCUUGAAUCGUGGAACGUGAUAGGGUUGCUUUAAUAACUGCUUUGAUAACUGCGCUUCUUGAUAACUACAACACUUCAUAUUUGCUAAGACCUUGGGCGACUCGAAGGUUUGGGCGAGAAUAGAGUAGCAGCUCUGGGCGACUGCAUGACACUAUAUUUUCUCAGAUCAUAGGCGACUUGCAAGCUUGGGUGAUGGUGUUACCGCGUUCGUGGGCCUCCCUAUUUGGGCCUUCAUCCUGAGUUGUCUGAUUGGGCUUCGUUCUUUGGGCUAUCUGAUUUGGGGAACCUCUAAUUGGGCUUCAUUCCUUGGGCUGUUCGAUUUGAGUUGAAUUUUUAUGUGUCAACAAUUACCCCCCAAUAUGGCAGAAUUAAUACCAAUUAUUAAAUUUUGCCAUAUUCACUUUGUGUUUCCAGCAACAUUCGAAAUUUUCAAAAAUUUCAAUCAUUGUUUUUUUCCAUAGCUUGAAAAUGUGCGACGUUUUGCAAACCCUUAUAACCCCCAAAUACGCCAUUUCACUGCACCAUUAAAUCACGCCUCACUUUUUUCGCGCUUCUCUCCCACAAUUUUACUGUUUAUCUCUUUGCUUCCUUGUUACGUAACUCUAAAAAACUCCGUUUCGUCCCUAAUGGCUACUUCACAAUCCCAAUCUGGCGACUCCGUUAGUUUUGAUGACUUUCAGAAACUCCUUACUCUUCCAUACAUAACUCCAAACUUUCUCGCACCUGUCAAUGUCGAACUCAAUGAGUUCUACCUAGGUCAUUUUUUCAACAAUGCAGAGGCAGUCGAACAAGCGGCAGUGGGCCAGCUGUUUCCUUGUACUCAAGGCCCUCCAUUUCUAAACUCUCUGCUGCUGGGGCCACUUCGCGAAAGAGGUAUUCGCACUUGGCCUAAAUCUGAUGUAGUUUUCCAUAGGUGGCAUGCUCGCCUUGUGGACCAUGGUCCUACUAAGGCACUUUUUGAUAAUGCUAGGAUUUCUGAUUUGUUAGAAAUCUCUCUUCAACCCCCUACUUUUGAUUCAGCACUUUUUUCGAUCGCUUUAAAUUUUUGAUCUUCUGAGUAUAAUACCUUUGUUUUCCCUCUUGGCCCCAUGUCUAUUACUUUACGGGAUGUUGGAGCCCUAGUGAAUCUUCCACCUUUGGGCGAUACCAUUUUUCCUAGUAUCUUGAUUUCUGGUAGCGCCCCAAAGUUUGGUAAAAACCUUACCGAGUCUUAUUCAAGCCUGCAAACCCUUCAUAACCACUCAAGCGCUGAACCUUCCCAUACUGAGCGAGUGGCCUUUCUUCUGGUUUCGCUUUGUAAAUAUGUUUUGUGUGUACCAAGCAUAAAGCCCUCCUUGAGCUAUUUACCCAUAGUGCAUUAAUUGGCGCGUGGUAGGCCUCUGAAUUUAUGUUCUUUCUUUUUGGCUGCCCUCUAUAGAGGCAUGGCUUCUCUUCAAUCUCAAUUGAAGAAUGGUGCAUCUCCCACUGACAGUGGACCUCUUUGGUUCACUCAAAUGUGGUUGAGAUCCUAUUUUCCAUCGCUUGGUGCUCCAUCAUUUUCUCGUCCUUCUGCUAGCUGUUAUGGGCUAGUCAUUGAGCCCCUGGCUCCUAUAAAUAUGUCUAGAAGGGACAUUUUUUCAUCCUUUUAUUCUGAAAAUUCAAUCCUUCCUUCUUUCCUUUUCCUCCCUUUUUUGACUCCGGACUAUGUGCAUUUAUUUGACGUUUAUCUUUUAAUUGCCAAUCCUUCAAGCAUUUAACUGCUUUGUGCUAAAAAUCUUGCACAUUUUCUCUUGAUAUUUCCAGCUCUUUUUCCAAGACUUUGGGCUACUUAAUUCCAUUUACUAGGCAGAAUGUGGUUGCUCAUAUUCUGUCUCUUCAUCUCCACCCCCUAUAAAAGCACGUAUGCUUCGCACUUUCCAUCUUCCAUCUUCAUUUUCAUUCUCUUCUUCGAAACCAAUUUGAUGCCAUUGUUUGUCAUUCUUGUAUUGAUGUCACCUUUGGUAUGGGAGAUAUAGGAAAUAUUUUUUGGCCAGCAGCGAAGUUUUUCCCAUCAAAGUUUUUCCCAUCGUCUCUUUGUUCUUUACAAGGGGUUCGAUGAUAGAAAGCAAUUUUUGGGAUGCUUGCGGGUCAUCUUGCUUGCUGAGAGUGCUUCUCAGCCUUUUUGCCCGCCAUUGCAACGAUGCAUUUAGGAAGGCGGUGCGAGGUCAGUCCACCCUCUUACUCGGCGAUCGACCGGGAGAUUAGCUUACUUUUAAUUGUAACUUGUAGAGCAUCUAUUAUUUGUAUCUUGCAACUUUGUAAUGAACAUUUGAUAAUAAAGGAAUUUAUUUGAACGUAUUUCGCUCUGACCUUUUUAUCCUUAAUCGUUCAACAUGUUUGAUUACGCUUUUAUCUGUUCACUUUCCCAUAAAAAAGGAACAUAUUUUUUCAAAUAUUUGCCGUUAAUGAAUCUCACGUGCUUGGUGCCAUCUAAAUCUUCCAAAUGAUAUGCUCCAUCGGGCAACAUACUGUUUACUUUGAAUGGUCCUUCCCAAUUGGGCGACCACUUCCCGUACUUUGGAUCCUUGCUAUCCAAAGGGAGUAUCGUCUUCCAAACUAAUUCGCCCAGGCUGAACGAUUUGGCUAUGACUUUUUUAUUAUAAAACGUAGCCAUUCUUUGUUUUUGAACUUGCAAUCUAUCUAAGACGUCCAACUUUAAUUCGUCCAACCCCAACAAAUUUUGAACUAGUGAUUCGGUAUACUUAUCAUCAUUUAACUUAUGUUGCAAGCACACUCUAAUCGGUUGCACGUUGAUUUCCAUAGGCAAACGGCCUCCUAUCCAUAAGUAAGUUGGAAAGGAGUAAUUUUGGUACUUGACCGAGGUGAUGUUCUAUAAGCCCAUAAGGCCUUAUUCAGACAUUCGUGCCAAUUUCUGACAUUUUCAUCUAUCAUUUUUCUGAUGAUAUUUUUUAGAAUCUUAUUAGAAGACUCUGCUUGUCCGUUGGAUUGAGCAUAAUAAGGUGUGGAGUUUACUAAUUUAACCCCAAACUCGCUCAAAAAUUUGUUCACUUGAUCCCCAUUCAAAGAUAUUCCGUGAUCUACCAUCAACGUUUCUGGAAUUCCAGACCUAUAAAUGAUGUGAUCACGGAUAAACUCUAUGAUAUUCUUUUGGGUGAUCUCUUUCAAAGGUACUGCCUCUACCCACUUGGUGAAAUAGUCGAUUGCAACUAUAACAAAAGUAUGUUGCUUGGACGAUGGGGGAUAAAUCUUCCCUAUUAGGUCUAUCGCCCAACCCUUGAACGACCAAGGUUUAAUAAUAGGUGUCAUCUCUCGUGCUGGCGCCCUUUGUAUUGGACCAUGCUUUUGGCAUGCUAAACAACUCUUUGCAUACUGAACGCAUAAUUCUCCCAUCUUUGGCCAAAAAUAUCCACUCCUUAUAAUAAACCAUCUCAUCCUUUGACCAGCUUGAUGAGCUCCACAUAUCCCAUCGUGCACCUCAAUCAUGAUCUUCCUGGCUUCUUGCAAACUUACACACUUUAGCAAUACACCAUCAGAGCGUUUCUUAAACAACUCUUCAUCUAGUAGUGUAUAGUUCAGCAAACACAGCUUUGUUUUCCUACUAAUCCCUCUAUUAGGUUCUUUAAGGAACCUUUUAAUCUCUGUUCUCCAAUCCAUUGCAUCUCUAUCUUGUAUGCAGUGAAGUUCAAUCCUUCUCGCCCUUCUUUGGAUCACGGGCAAUAUGGUUCCAUACUCACAAGUAGACUUCCAAUUCAAAACCUUUAAGUACCCUGAGGCCUGUUCGCGAAAUAUUUUUUUUCGAUUUAAAUUACCGCAAGUGUACGGUUCGUUAACAAGUAAUAAAGUGGAUUCAAUGAGUCCGAGUAUCGUCCCACAGAGAUUGGUUAGUUCAAUUUUACUUAUUCGACCUUAACCGAAACCAAAUUACUCAAAAUGAAUGUGGACCUAAUUAAAACUCUAAAAUUGGAAAGAAAACCCUACUUAUGCAACUUUUAUGAUUGUAAUGAAAUUAAUAAGCAAAACAAUAAUUUAAAACUCUAAAAUGAAAUCAAUUGUUGAGAACGCACGUUUGUUGUAAUCAAUAGAAAUUAAACACACUAGGAUCACGAUUUUCCAUACAAUUAUCACUUUAAACUCUAGUUUCACAAUAUGACAACAUAAUUCAAUUGUUGACGAAUCAAUGUCCCUAAGUCUAUCCAAUACUCUCUCUCGAGAUNNNNNNNNNNNNNNNNNNNNNNNNNNNNNNNNNNNNNNNNNNNNNNNNNNNNNNNNNNNNNNNNNNNNNNNNNNNNNNNNNNNNNNNNNNNNNNNNNNNNNNNNNNNNNNNNNNNNNNNNNNNNNNNNNNNNNNNNNNNNNNNNNNNNNNNNNNNNNNNNNNNNNNNNNNNNNNNNNNNNNNNNNNNNNNNNNNNNNNNNNNNNNNNNNNNNNNNNNNNNNNNNNNNNNNNNNNNNNNNNNNNNNNNNNNNNNNNNNNNNNNNNNNNNNNNNNNNNNNNNNNNNNNNNNNNNNNNNNNNNNNNNNNNNNNNNNNNNNNNNNNNNNNNNNNNNNNNNNNNNNNNNNNNNNNNNNNNNNNNNNNNNNUCUUCUGGACGUUCUUUCGUAUUUAAAUCGCGUGGAAAUUAGGUUACUAAAGGAGUUUCAAUCGUAUAAGGAAACUGCAAAACGGCCCCCAGAUUAUACCUAUGCGACCGCAUAGUACAUUUCUAUGCUGUCGCAUAGAGUAAAAAAAUUUGAGAAAAAGUUCUCGGGAGGCUUCUAUGCGACCGCAUAGAAUUUAUACUAUGCGACCGCAUAGUUAUACAAUUCUUUCCGCUGGACAGCUUUUAGUAUUUUGUUCAUAACUCUCCCUGAUCUCCGAUUGAAGUGAUUCAAAGUGCAUUGUGAAGAAAACUCAAAGAUCUACCCUUUUGAUAGAAAUAGGCUUCCUCAAAUUCUGAUGUUUACUAUGUCAAAAAUGGAUCUCAAGUAGAUACUAAAAAUCACGAGCAUAGCUUUUUCGCCUGAAAGUUGAUACUUGAUAAUACUUCGACCCUAUUUCACCUCGUGACUCCUUUCCUCAUCCGAUUGACUUCUAACACUCUUGAAUCUUCAUUCCAUUUCCCGUCUCAUCUAUGAAUUAUUUGCAACUUGGUCCCCGAACUUUCAGUUUAAUUCAUUUUAGUCCCUUUUGCAAUUCCUUCUUCUUCCAAUCAUCUUGUAUUGCUUUCGAGUUCAUACUUAGCAUAUUUGCAUUCCCGAGUUAUCUUUUAGUUCAACUUUCAAAUAUUUGCAUCCUUAGUCCCUGAACUAUCACUUUGCUCCAUUUUAGUCCUUUUUCGGCUCUCUUCUCCCGAAUUCCACUAUUUCCAUAGAAACACCUACAUUGCAUGAAUUCAAUGAGAUUAAGUCACAAUUCAAUCAUUUUUCUUGUAUUUAAGUUAUGUUUGUAAUCUAAAUAAGUGUGCAAAAACACACUUAUCAAGGCCAUUUGGGCCAACACAUUUGCCACAUCGUUAUAUAUCUUAUUAACGCAUUGAAAUUCUACUUGGUCGAAUUCUUCUAACAAUUCUUGGGCGAUCUCAUAUUGACUUAUAAUGGAAUCACUUUGACAUUUAAAAUCACCAAUCAAUUGGUGAAUUACCAAUUGAGAAUCGCCCCUAACGAUCACAUUUUUUACUCCCAUAUCUAUCAUUAGUUCUAGGCCUACGAUUAAGACUUCAUAUUCGACCUGAUUGUUGGUGCACAUCCUGUCUAAAGUGAACGCGAACUUGCUACUCCUACUCCUGCACCUUUAGAGGUUUUUGACCCAUCAAAAUACAACACCAUAGGUUUUAGCUCGAAAGAAUUGAUUUCUAAUUCAAUUUCUUCAGGCAUGUCAAGGUAUGGAUGAUCGGCUAGAAAGUUAGUCAAAGCCUGAUUUUUUACUACCUUUUGAGGUAUAUAUUGUAUCUCGAAUUCUGAUAAAGCUAAUGUCCAAAGGCCUACCCUUUGGUGUAAAAUAGGGCGAGAGAACAUAUACUUAACUAAAUUUACUUUAGAAAUUAAAUAAACGGUUACGGGCCGUAAAUAAACCCUUAAUUUUGUACAUGUGAAAUAUAAUGCAAGACAUAAUUUUUCGAUAGCAGAGUAAUUACAUUCACAUUUUGUUAACCGCCUACUUAAGUAGUAAAUUGCCCUUUCUUCAGCAAAUUGGUCUUCCUGCACGACUAUUCCAGCUAUUGAUUUUUUUUCAGCCGAUACGUACACUUUCAUUGGCCAUCUUUGGAUUGGUAAUACCAACACUGGUGGACUUGAUAAAUAUGUCUUUAGGCUUUCAAAAGCCUUUUGAUGUUCUUCUUUCCAGACGAAUUCGUCCUGAUUUUUCAUCUUUAAGAGUGGCGAAAAGACUUUAGUUCGCCCUGCAUAGUUAGAAAUAAAGCGUCUUAAAAAAUUUACUUGGCCUAGAAACCUUUGCAAUUCUUUUUGGUUGUUAGGUGGUUUGGCCUCUAAAAUGGCCUUCGCUUUAUUUUUAUCAAGUUCAAUCCCUUUUUUGUGUACCAAGAAACCAAGAAAGUUCCCUACAUUAACACCAAAUGCACAUUUCAAGGGAUUCAACUUUAGUUUAUAUUGCUUCAUUCGCUCAAACGAACAUCUUAACUGUUCGAAAUGGUCCUCUUCUUUAAUGGAUUUGACCACUAUGUCAUCUACAUACACUUCAACAAACUCGCAUAUCAUAUCAUGAAAGAUUAAAUUCAUUGCCCUUUGAUAAGUUGCUCCUGCAUUUUAUAGGCCGAAAGGCAUGACCACCCAUUCAAAACAUCCUAGAGACUCAAGGCAUCUAAAGGUAGUUUUGUGUAUGUCUUCUUCAACUAUAUAAAUUUGAUUGUACCCUGACGUGUUCGGCAGUCGAGUCUACUAAAGAAUCCACCGUGGGCAUUGGAUACUCAUCUUUGGGUGUAGCUAUGUUUAAAUUCCUAAAGUCUAUGCACACUCUUAGUUUACCAUUCUUUUUUAGUACUGGUACGAUAUUGGACAACCAUUCGACAUACCUGGCUGUUCUAAUAAAGCUUGCUUUCACUAAUCGCUCUAUCUCUUACUUAAUCUCAGGGAGUACAUUAGGAGCAAAACGUCUAGGAGGCUGCCUAUGAGGUUUAAAAUUAGGCUUAGUUGGUAACCUAUGUUCCACCAAGUCUCUAUCUAAACCAGGCAUUUGUUCAUAUUUCCAAGCAAAACAAUCUUUAUACUCCUUUAGCAAAGCGAUUAAUUUAUCACGAACCUCUUGACCGAGCAUCUGGCUGAUGAAUGUUGGACGAUCUUCUCCUUCAUUGUCAAUAUUUACUUUGAUUAGAGGGUCUUAUGCUUGAGCGUAUCCAGGUUUGAUGAUCCGCAUCACUUCGUCGUCCAGUUCCCUUGUAAGUACUUCUUCUUCUAAACAGUCCACCUUGUUGACUUCUCGGCCAAUACUUUGUUCUAACUCGAAUACUGCUAAUUUGUCUUUCAGCGCUUUCAGGGCUGUCUCUUCUUUCGCCUUGUCAUUGCAUUCCUUAUUGAAAGCUAUUAAUUUGGCUUUGAAGGCCUGAAUAUCGGCCGUUUGCUCUUGUUACUUAGAACUCAUUCAAGACUCCUUAAUUAUUCUUUUGCCAAUUACUGGCUCUUCUAGGGCCACUAUAUUUGGCCUCAUCUGUCUGAACAUUUCAGUGAGUGCAUCCAUUGAAAAUGGAUCUUCGCUUUACGUGACAACUUCGGUUUCUUCCCCAUCUUGUACUACCUUGACAGGUCCAUAGUUUCCUUCGUACAUGAACUUUUCCACCGAGUUUGCUUCUGCGACAAAAGGCCUAUGAUCGGCCUGUACCACCUCUGCUUCACCCUUGUUAUUUCAAAAAAUAAGGCAUUGAUGGAGCGAUGAGGAUAUACAGCGACUUCCGUGUAUUCAAUCUCUUCCUAGUAACACAUUGCAACUAGUAGGACCAUCUAUUACAAAGAAGACUGUGGUCCUAGUAGUUGUCCCUAUAGUUAUGUCCAAUGGCAUAACUCCCUUAGCUAAAGUUACUCCUCCAUUGAAACUCAUAAGGAUGACUUCUGUUGGAAACAUGUUACCCUCUGUCUUUGCAAAUUUCCUCAUCAUCCUAGAUGGAAUGGUGUUUAUAGCUGCUCCAUUGUCGAUAAGCACUUUUGCCAUAGGGAUGCCGUUAACUAGAGUUUUAACAUACAAUGGCCUCAAGUGUUUAGUUAAUUUCAUGGCUGGCCGUUUAAAAAUAACCUUUUCGGCAGCCUCUAUUUCUACUUCCUACUUGUUUUCUGUCGAAUUAUCCCCCUGUGAUAAGUCGACGUGCAACAUAUCGCGCUGAGCCUCUGUCUCCUAAAUUUCCUCCUUACUGUUUUCUAAUGCUUCCUCAUCAGUUACCCAACAUGUGGGAGGGGGCAUUAUUCUUGGAGGUGAUCCAUAUUUUUCAGAGCGAGGUACUCUCUUCUUCCUUUUGGGCGUCCCGUAUAGUACGCCCAGAUGGUUCUCCUAACAAGUCUACUUUGCGAACUCCCUCUCGUUGUAGUUGCUUCAACAGAGUAUUCUGCGAUACUCCUCUCCUUCUUCUUUUUGCUUCUAGGUUGAUUUCUUCUUCGAUGUUUGUCAUCUCGUCGUCUUCUUCAUCAUUGUAGGUCUCUCUAGAAGUUUGGCCUUCUUCACAUUCCAGCACACAAGCCUCUCCUUCGUUGUCCUCCCUUUCUUCUUCUUCUUUUUCUUUAUUCUUGAAUUCAUUGGCCAGUAAGUAAUUAUUAGCCACAAUAAGAGGUAAUGUACCGAACUGGAUAGUAAGGGGCUGAUAUGGAUCUUCUCCAUCCCUUCUGUCUCGCUCAAACUUUGAUCUUCCAGAAGAAGUUUCUGACAAUUCUUUCAUUGAUUCAUCUGUACCGGUCUCUUCACUAUCUUUGAGAACAUUUUGAUUGGCUACCUUGAGUAGUUUAGGUGCUUUAGGAUGUGGCACUCCCUGUUGCUGCCUCAUCAUUCGUCCAUAAUUUCGUUGGAAACGCCUUCGUUGGGUUCUAGUCAUCUCAUCGAAGGGUAUUGCCCUUCCUGCAUUAUACUGGAACGAAUGCCAUACAUUUGGCCGGCGAGGUUGUGGUAUGAAUGUUUUCCCAUUAUCUACUGGCCUAAACUGCCUCUCAAAAGGCGGUCCUCUAUAGAAUGAUGUACCUCGCCCUCUACCAGGCUGAGUGUUUAGGAAGAAAGUAGGGCGAUGGGGAUGCUGCCAUAUCCCUGGUUUCUCCUUGUUCCCAUUCACUUCUCUUUUACAUCUUGCAAACAUGACGUCUUCAUCCUUUUUUGGCUCUUUCCCCUUGAUUCGUUCAAAAACACUAGGAUGUGGUCCAGGGUUCUCUUCUCCAUCAUCUAUGACCAACUUGAAUUUUGGCAACUUGUUUUUGAAACCAGACGUCACCAUGUUCACUCCAAGUGGCUGUGGAAAAGGAUUUUCAUCCACUGCCAUCUUCUUCUUAUCGUCGAAUGUAAUUCGUCCUGAUUCAAUGGCUUCUGCAAUACAUGGCGAAAAACAAAGCAAUUGUUAGUCAAAUGUGACCAUGCAUUAUGCCAUUUACAAUAUUUUUUACCCUUAAUUUGUUCAGCGUUUGGUAAUUUAUGCUUAUCGCUCGGCUUUAUCUACUUAUCCCUAUAUAAUUUAUCAAAUAUAAGGUCAGCUUUGGUUACAUAGAACGAGAACGUUCUAGCCUUUAUGUUUCCAUCUUUCAUGGGCUCAUCUUUGCCCGAUAGUCUAGGCUUAGCCAUUAUAGGACAAGUAUACGUGUCUUCUUUGACCAAUUUGGCCAAACACAUUUCGACUUGAUCGUAUGACUCGUCACUGAUGGUAUGAACGUCAAAAUUUGGGUCUUUGUAAUAAGUCUCUUUACUAGAAUUCUUCAUCUGCUCUUUUUCUCUUAUCAGUCGUUCAUACCUAAUCACAUUCGCACUCAACUGAAAAAGGUCAGGAAAUUCCUUGUCUUGGAAUUUCUUUUUUAAAUCAAAGCUCAAAUAGCGCUGAGCGAUUUUGACAAAUUCUUUUUCGCGCAGAGAUACAAAACACUUGCUUCUUGCUGUCUUGAACCUUUGGAGAAAAUUUUCUGCCCAUUCAUUUGGCAUUUACGUAGAUUCACCAAAUCAACCAAAGUGACUUCAGACUCAGUUUUAUAAAAUUGAGCGUGGAAUAAUUGUUCCAAUUGUUGUCAUGUUUGAACAGAGUUCGCUGGCAAGUUGAUGAACCAGGAGAAAGCUACUCCUGUUAAUGAACUAGUGAAAAGCCUCAUUUUAUGGUAAUCAGUUACAUUACCCCUUUGCAAUGUGAAUCGCCCUAUGUGUUCUAGAGUAGACACCUCUCCUAAACCGGUAAACAGUGAGAACUCUGGCACUUUAUACCCUCUAGGCCAUGGAUAUGCUUGGUCUACCCAAUCAGGAUAUGGCUUUGUGUAAGUCGGCCUAAUGAUAGGACGCACCCCAAAAGCUAUCUGAUCCUGUACGAUUUCCAUAAUUUGAUUCCUCAACAUGAUGUUGGGGUCAUACGAAAUUCCUACAGGUUAGUUAACCGGUUGAUUUGCAUGAGGCCUGAUGUUUGGUUCUUGAUUGGCAACAAAGUUACCAUGAUUAGGGCCAUUAUCAUUAGCCUGAACAUCUAUUCCCUCAUUAACACGUGGGGUAUUCUAUCCAUUGUUUAGGACAUUAUCUCUUACAUUUGGAUUAUCCCCCAAGUUAGGUGUACCACUACCAUUGUUCUGAUUUGGCACUGCACCACCCCCUUAGUUUGAAGUAGAGGGACCAAAAAGUGGUUCUAUCCCUUGAUUCAGAUUUAGGACUGAGGGAUUAUGUCCCAUAAUUGUCCUAUCAAGAGGCAUAACUGGUUGAUAUAUUUGGCCUACUAACGUAUUCAUUAUUUCAUUCAAAGUGUUUAGCUGUUUGGCCAUGUUGUCAUAAUGGGCAUUCCCAUUUUGGGUAAAUCUUUCCAUAUUAUGAAUACUUUGAAGAUUUACCUGUUCAAUGACAUCUUGUGUGAGUUCUCCAAGUAGUGCACGCAUAGUUCGAGGACUCAAUUCUGUCAUUGGUUCGUAACGACUAUUAUUGCUCUGAUUCUGUCCAUCUGUUCGUGGAGCGGCAUGCUGCUCCUCAUAUCGCUCGAUCACAGUCUGGACUCCUCCUUGACUUGCUGCUUCCUUAUCGGAUCUCUGAGGCAUAUUGUUUCACCUUUUGUAUUUUCAACACCAAACACCACUGUCCCACUGGGCGUGCCAAAUUGUUUCGCGCGGGUUCAUUGCUUAUAAUUAAAAAGGGAUCAGACGAUUGUGUAAGGGACAAAUCUCUUGAAACAAAGUCCCAAAAAGGGGUGUUCUUUAUUGGCGAUGACUUUACAAUCGGAAAGUAAAAACAGAAUGCCUCCAAGGGGCGCAAGCACACGAGUUACUGAAAGAAGCGUUUAAAUCUAAACUAAGAAAUUUAAAGUUACAUAUUCUCUGUUCGAGAGUUUUUUUAUUCGAGUCCUCUUGCUCUCUGUCUUUUAUUCCUUUUAUACUCCCUGGAUGAUCUCUUUGUGAUCAACCGCCUAAAAACUGCUUGAUCGUUCUAUAACUGCCCACUUUCCUCGUAAUGGCCAACUUGUCAUGGAACUGCCUUUUCUAACUGCUGCCAUUACUCUUUGUCGUUCAACCAUCUUCAAUUGAAUUCCUUGAAUUGUGGAACGUGAUACGGAUGCUUUAAUAACUGCUUUGAUAACUGCGCUUCUUACUAACCACAACACUUCAUGUUUGCUAAGACCUUGGGCGACUCGAAGGUUUGGGCGAGAAUAGAGUAGCAGCUCUGGGCGACUGCAUGGCACUCCAUUCGCUCAGAUCCUGGGCGACUUACAAGCUUGGGCGAUGGUGUUACCGCGUUCAUGGGCCUCCCUAUUUGGACCUUUAUCCUGAAUUAUCUGAUUGGGCUUCGUUCUUUGGACUAUCUGAUUUGGGGAUCCUCCAAUUGGGCUUCAUUCCUUGGGCCGUUCAAUUUGGGCUGAAUUUUUAUGUGUCAACACUAUUAGAACUUCCACUGUGCUUCCUACCUUGCUUUUGGUCUUUACCCUUGCUGCCCCGUGAAGAUUUGCCACCACCCUUGUGCUUGUUCUUCCCGUACCUCUUGCUAUCACUAAUGAUAGGCGAUGAUUCUUGUUCAAUGAAACAUGUAACAUUGCUAUUGGAACUGGAUCGUGUACAUCAAGGUCCCAUCAUUCCCAUGUCACUGGUAUUCCCUGUUUUUCAUGGCCACCUUUCAUGGCAGAUACAAGCUUCAAAGGAGUCUCUGAGAAGAUUAGAAAUCAAGGAAAAAAAUUGGAGUGAGUGGUAAUAUGAAUUUGCCCAAAACUGAACCGUCAUAUACCAUACUAGAACUUAUCAUACGUUUGAAACAUAACUAUUUGGAAUGCACUACUACUUUACCGCAACUUUUUUCCGAGGCACUGCCUCAGUUACUAAAUAGGCAAUUAAAGAAGAGAAUAAUGGGAAAACAAAGAAAUGAACUAUCGCACUGUUGAAAUACAACAAAGGUUGGACAUCAAAAAAUUCAAAAUGGAUGGGCAAAAGGUUCACUGGCCUGCAUCCUCUAGAAUUAUUGUCUCUGAUAUAAAUUGCAUACAGAUCAUCAAGAAGAUACCUUAUAUUUUCGAAAACCAAAAGAACAGAAUUAUAAGCAAAGAUAAAGCUAGAAUAUAAUAUAGAAGAAAUUAAGCCCAUGUUUGGUAGAGAUUUUUUGAGAAUAGACUUUGUGAGAAGUAAUUUCUUUUGGAGAAUUAGGGGUUAAAAACUAGGAAAAACUUACGGGUUUACUAGUAAAAUUAUUUUAUUGGAAAAAUAUGUAAUUGAAAAUGAGCUCGAGAAAUCGGGGCCAAAUAAGGAAUAUAAAAUCGCACUCACAGGUGCACAAUUGACACAUACCUCGCGGGAAAGCAACUACGUGGCAUAAAAAAUCAUCCCUACUUUCCAGUAAUUUAACAUGAUCAUAGCAGUAUUAGUACAAUUCCAGUUCCCAACCAGACAGCUAUAGGUAAAAUACUUUAACUGUCUUGAACCAAAAACAGCAUCUGUUUUUCACUAGAAUUCCCCAUUGACAUGAGAAAGAUCGUAUGUUGGUGAAAAAUAUAGACAAAAGCUAGCUAUCAAGAAGUCUAAGUAAACUUACAGGCAAAAAAAUGGACUGUGAAUAAGACUGAUCAACAGAUUUAGCAUGGCCAUUUGGCAAAGAGACUUUCAGAGUUAUAUAAUCACCAUGCUUUUCUUUCCUGUCCACUAAUUCCACGGUGGAAAAUUUAUGCUCACCAAGAGGUGGAAUUGUUGCUAAGGCAAUUUUCAGACGAUGGAAUGCUCACCUCCCUUAUAUCUGGGUCCUUAUAUUCAUCUAUGCUUGCCACAUUGCCUAUAACAUAUUUCUCAGGAGUUGGAGCGAAGCGGUGAAGCCACAACUUGAAAUUGCCACAUCCUCAGUGCUUAGAAACUCAAUCAAACAUGAUUCCAGAUAAUUGAUAGAAACAUCACUUGCACAGUAAUGAGCUGAAUCAGGUGGAUCAGUUGAUUUGCUAAUGCUGGUUAUAUUCUGCGGACCUGGUGUAUUAUGUGUUAAGACCUGGAGUUCUAUCUUAAAAGGUCAACCUUCUUAAGAGGAGUAGCCCACCUUAUAAGUUGGUAUGUUUUAUCUUUAUUUGAUAUGUAAUUAUAUCCCUUGAUGUGCCCCGCAAGAUAGUGGCUCGUUUGAGCAAACCAAUCUUGAAAUCCAAAUGCUCAUUUAUUGAGUUUUAAUCGAAUCGAAUUGCUCGUUGAAGUUUAAUUGGCUUUGAUAUUAUGUUAAGACUUGGGGUUCCAUUUUAAAAGGUCAAUCUUCUAAAGAGGAAUAGCCCAAGACCUUAUAUGUUGGUCUAUGUUUUCAUCUUUAUUUGUUGUGAGAUUAUGUUCCUUGAUAUUAUGAAGAACACAAACUUCCGUAUACAGGAACAAGAAUGGCAGAGAAGGGCUGCACCAGCAGAGAUGGAAGCAACUAAGCACUUACGAUUAUGAAAAGUAUCACUUCCAAAAUAACACAAACAAAGCUAGAAAAAAUAUGUGGAACAGUAAAUAGGAAUAUAAUACAUUCAACUGACCUCCACUCCAGCAUUGACAUACCACUAGAUAGGAGGAAUGUAUGAGCACGAGAAAUGGCCAGUUUAUGACUUGAAAAUACUCAUAAAUCCCCCACCCAAAAAAAAAAAAGGAAAUUAACUUACGUAUAAACUGGGAUUGAAGCACCGGGCACACCAUCUGAAGGAAUUUUUAUUAAAUCAUGCCCUUUCACACCUAUUUUCUUUGGUUGUGUAAAGGCUCAUAUGAUAGAAACUUAAAAUAGAUUCAUUUCUAUGUAACUUGGUUAUUUGUGUAUAUCACCUCACUCAGCUCACUGCUCCCCUAAUUUCAUUUUUGGUAAAAUGUUCCCUGCUUAUUAUGUCUUUUAAUUUGCAAGUUUAAUGUGAUAAUGAAUAAAGCCUAAUAAUUCUAAACUGACAAAACAUUCAAGAAAUGAAUGAGCACCCAUAAUUAAGAUGAUGCCGAUCAAAUACAUCACAGAGAGAUCCAGUGAACAGUUUUACAAAGCCCGUGAAGCAGAAAGCGAAGAAAUAAACAAAUAAAAAAGAAAAAUUUCCCCGCCUACGUAUCCAAAUAGAAGAUAUAACAUAAUUCUGAUAUGAAACAUUUACAAAACAUAAAUUGAUUCAAAAACAAGAACAAAUUAAAUUAAUUUGAUUAAGAAAGUACCUUGUCCUGAUCCAAGCGUAUAAACCCUUCAAGUUACAGCUGAAAAAAUCUCCUUAAACCAGAUGCAAUGAAUAGAAAGGGGAAAUCACGGCAAAGUACUAUAGCUCAAUAACCAAUCAAAAUUAGCUCACCACCAAAUUUAUCCCUCGUAUUAUUGUAAACGAUGGAAAAUCGGAAAACAUAAUAUACAAUAUACAAAGAGCAAACAACUAGAAUAUAAACCCAUGAAAUCAGACAGAAAAAUAAAAAUUUAAGCUAAUGUUAAUUAGUAAGAUUACCACGCUGAUCAUUUUUCCAAGAUGUUUCAGGCGAUGUAGAGUUUAAACUCUCAAAUAAAAUAAUUUUUAUUGAUAAAAUACAAUUUUACACUUUUUUUUUGACUCACUUUGAUUAUAUGGAGGCACUUCUUACUAACACACUACACUACCUCACUAUGUCUCUCUUUCUCUACUUAUUCUAUCUAAUCUCACUCUCUUCACACACCUUUCACCAUACACCAUCCCCUAUUUAUAGAGGUAAGUUGGUGACAAUUCUCCUACACAAAAAUUGAUGAUUCUACAUAAUCUCAUUAAUUGAUUCUAAGUCAUCUUCCUAGAUAAAUCUAGAAUGAUGAUGAGCAAUGUAUUUUCUAGAUUUUUCAAUGGUUGAGAAGGGAUAAUAAAAUGGUAAAUCUUAGAUGAAUCUAGAAAAUUCAUGCCAAAGUCGGUGAAGCAGACAUCGAAGAGGGUAGAUUUGCUAGAUUUAAAGAAAAUGGAUGACAAAUUGCAAGAGGAAAUCAUGGAAGCACAAC
rnacentral:lncRNA from 1 species